CUCAGGACGAACGCUGGCGGCGUGCCUAAUACAUGCAAGUCGUACGCUUCUUUUUCCACCGGAGCUUGCUCCACCGGAAAAAGAGGAGUGGCGAACGGGUGAGUAACACGUGGGUAACCUGCCCAUCAGAAGGGGAUAACACUUGGAAACAGGUGCUAAUACCGUAUAACAAUCAAAACCGCAUGGUUUUGAUUUGAAAGGCGCUUUCGGGUGUCGCUGAUGGAUGGACCCGCGGUGCAUUAGCUAGUUGGUGAGGUAACGGCUCACCAAGGCCACGAUGCAUAGCCGACCUGAGAGGGUGAUCGGCCACAUUGGGACUGAGACACGGCCCAAACUCCUACGGGAGGCAGCAGUAGGGAAUCUUCGGCAAUGGACGAAAGUCUGACCGAGCAACGCCGCGUGAGUGAAGAAGGUUUUCGGAUCGUAAAACUCUGUUGUUAGAGAAGAACAAGGAUGAGAGUAACUGUUCAUCCCUUGACGGUAUCUAACCAGAAAGCCACGGCUAACUACGUGCCAGCAGCCGCGGUAAUACGUAGGUGGCAAGCGUUGUCCGGAUUUAUUGGGCGUAAAGCGAGCGCAGGCGGUUUCUUAAGUCUGAUGUGAAAGCCCCCGGCUCAACCGGGGAGGGUCAUUGGAAACUGGGAGACUUGAGUGCAGAAGAGGAGAGUGGAAUUCCAUGUGUAGCGGUGAAAUGCGUAGAUAUAUGGAGGAACACCAGUGGCGAAGGCGGCUCUCUGGUCUGUAACUGACGCUGAGGCUCGAAAGCGUGGGGAGCAAACAGGAUUA
rnacentral:rRNA from 1 species